rnacentral:rRNA from 1 species
CCCUUAGAUGUUCUGGGCCGCACGCGCGCUACACUGAUGCAUUCAACGAGUCUAAAACCUGGUCUGAUAGGGCUGGGUAAUCUUUUGAAUGUGCAUCGUGAUUGGGAUAGAUGAUUGCAAUUCUUCAUCUUCAACGAGGAAUGCCUAGUAAACGCGAGUCAUCAGCUUGCAUUGAUUACGUCCCUGCCCUUUGUACACACCGCCCGUCGCUCCUACCGAUUGAAUGUUCCGAUGAAUACCAUGGACUGAGAGUAUGAAUGGGUUCGCCUAUUUCUGCUUCUCGGGAAGUGGAGUAAAUCUUAACAUUUAGAGGAAGGAGAAGUCGUAACA